UACGUAGGGGGCUAGCGUUGUCCGGAUUUAUUGGGCGUAAAGAGCGCGUAGGCGGCCGAGUAAGUCCGACGUGAAAUCUGGAGGCUCAACCUCCAGCGGUCGUGGAAACUACUCGGCUAGAGUCCGGAAGAGGAGAGUGGAAUUCCUGGUGUAGCGGUGAAAUGCGCAGAUAUCAGGAAGAACACCGAUGGCGAAAGCAGCUCUCUGGGACGGUACUGACGCUGAGGCGCGAAAGCGUGGGGAGCGAACAGG
rnacentral:rRNA from 1 species